GUCGAGCGAACAGACGAGAGCUUGCUCCUCUGACGUUAGCGGCGGACGGGUGAGUAACACGUGGAUAACCUACCUAUAAGACUGGGAUAACUUCGGGAAACCGGAGCUAAUACCGGAUAAUAUAUUGAACCGCAUGGUUCAAUAGUGAAAGACGGUUUUGCUGUCACUUAUAGAUGGAUCCGCGCCGCAUUAGCUAGUUGGUAAGGUAACGGCUUACCAAGGCAACGAUGCGUAGCCGACCUGAGAGGGUGAUCGGCCACACUGGAACUGAGACACGGUCCAGACUCCUACGGGAGGCAGCAGUAGGGAAUCUUCCGCAAUGGGCGAAAGCCUGACGGAGCAACGCCGCGUGAGUGAUGAAGGUCUUCGGAUCGUAAAACUCUGUUAUUAGGGAAGAACAAAUGUGUAAGUAACUAUGCACGUCUUGACGGUACCUAAUCAGAAAGCCACGGCUAACUACGUGCCAGCAGCCGCGGUAAUACGUAGGUGGCAAGCGUUAUCCGGAAUUAUUGGGCGUAAAGCGCGCGUAGGCGGUUUUUUAAGUCUGAUGUGAAAGCCCACGGCUCAACCGUGGAGGGUCAUUGGAAACUGGAAAACUUGAGUGCAGAAGAGGAAAGUGGAAUUCCAUGUGUAGCGGUGAAAUGCGCAGAGAUAUGGAGGAACACCAGUGGCGAAGGCGACUUUCUGGUCUGUAACUGACGCUGAUGUGCGAAAG
rnacentral:rRNA from 1 species